rnacentral:pre_miRNA from 1 species
UUAGAGGAUUUGAAUACUUCAACUUGAAUACUUAGAGCAUUUGAAUACUUCAACUUGUAUACUUAGAGGAUUUGGAUACGUAAAAU